UUAAGACAAGACAAGAAAGAAAGACCUACACAACGCUGAUUUGCACACAGAAAAAUAUGUCAAGGACGGAGAUUCUGGGCUACGGAAGCGAAGAAACCACCGCAACAGUGAGAGAAGAAUCGGUGAACGCAAGAGGCCCGUCGGACAUCGUCGGCAAAUGUGUCGCCCAGAUGAAAAGCGUGGACUACGAUGUGCGUCUGGAGAUGGCACAAAGAGCGCCGCAUCCGCCCAACAAGUUUCAGUGCCCACAAGGUGAAGACGAGGAGAAGUAAUUUUGAUCGUCCGGCCGAAGCACUAGCUGCACUGUAAUAUUUACUACAGCUG